ACACGACUCUCGGCAACGGAUAUCUAGGCUCUCGCAUCGAUGAAGAACGUAGCAAACUGCGAUACUUGGUGUGAAUUGCAGAAUCCCGUGAACCAUCUGAGUCUUUGAACGCAAGUUGCGCCCGAAGCCAUUANGCCGAGGGCACGUCUGCCUGGGCGUCACGCAUNGCGU
rnacentral:rRNA from 1 species